CCUACGGGGUGCAGCAGUGAGGAAUAUUGGGCAAUGGGCGCAAGCCUGACCCAGCCAUGCCGCGUGAGUGAAGAAGGUCUUCGGAUCGUAAAGCUCUUUCGGUCGUGACGAUGAUGACGUUAGCGUCUAAAUAAGCACCGGCAAACUUCGUGCCAGCAGCCGCGGUCAUACGAAGGGUGGGAGCGUUCUUCGGUAUUACUGGGCGUAAAGCGAUCGUAGGCGGUAUGUCAAGUCGAGGGUGAAAUCCCCGCGCUCAACGUGGGAAGUGCCUUUGAAACUGGCUAACUGGAGUGUGUGAGAGGAUAGUGGAAUUCCAGGUGUAGGAGUGAAAUCCGUAGAGAUCUGGAGGAACAUCAGUGGCGAAGGCGACUAUCUGGCACAUAACUGACGCUGAGGAGCGAAAGCGUGGGUAGCAAACAGGAUUAGAUACCCGUGUAGUC
rnacentral:rRNA from 1 species